GGAACAUGGCGUCGGGCGGGGGAAUACCGCCUGACAAGGUUCGUGAAAAAUCGUUUAAAUGUCAUCCCUCAGCAAGAGUUGGAGUAGUAAUUUGUUUAAUAUGUGAAAAUGUGUACCAUAGAAGUGACUUUAAUAAAUUAAACAACAUAAGAUAUGUCAGUAAUACAUUGGUAAUUUGUCCUGAUCACGCGCACAUAAAUCUAACCUCAAAAUAUAAUGAAUCGGCAUUAAAUGAGGAUGCCAGAAUCAUAGUAGCACAUGUGAAAAGUCAAUUGAAGGAAGAACUAAGGGAAGAAAUUUUGAAAGAACUGGAAAACAAGGACGAGGAGGACGAACAAAAUAGUCAGGAUGAUAGUUUGGAAGUGAGUAAUUUGAGAAAAGAAAAUAGUCUACUAAAACAAAUAAAUACAGAGAUGAGCGAUAAGAAUGAAAUAUUGAAGGAAUUUAUUAAGCAACUACAAAAAGAAAACAACAUUGUUAAGAAACCAUAUGCUCAAGUUUUAUCAGGAGAAAAGCCAAAAAGCGAAAGAGUACCGAACAUCAUAAUAAGGAAGAAAAACAAUGAGGACAGAACAGAUAUAAGAACAAGUGUGAAACAUUAUUUAAAUAAAGAGAAGUCAAUUCAAACCAAAAAGGUAUAUUGCAAAAAUGACAAUGAGAUGAUAAUCAGUUGUAUGAACAACACAAGUGCUGCUGAAACCCUUAAAUACAUGAGUAAGAAAUUAUCUAAUACAUGUACGAUUGAAAAAGAAGUAGUAAAAAAACCAAGAUUGAAAAUAGUGGGUGUGGAUAAUUAUGAACAAAUGGACUUAAAAGAAUUAGAAAAUGACAUAAAUACAAGAAACUUUAAAGGCUGUGAAACAAAAUGUGUAGCUGUGCAUAAAUUUGUAAACAAAAGAAACAAUCAAGAAAGCAUAAUAAUUGAAGUAACCUCAGAACUAUACAAGACUAUAAAAGAGAACAAUAACAGAAUCUUUGUAGGAUACCAGAACUGCAAAGUAUAUGACGACAUUAAUCUACAACCCUGUAUAAACUGUGGGAGAUUCGGACACAGCAGUAGGAAGUGCAUAAAUGACAAGGUAUGUUUAAGAUGUGCAGGCCCUCAUAAUACAAUCAACUGUACAAAGCAGUCUGAUUUAUGCUGUAUUAACUGUUGUUUUAUUAAUAACAUCUACAAGACAAAGUAUAAUACAGCACACGUGGCAAAUGAUAGCCACCAAUGUCAAGUGCUUAUGAAAAAAAUCAAAAGGCAUAUUGAAUCAACGGAUUACCCUGUGGACCCAUUUAUCCAGAGAUAUAUCGGUAAAAUAGAUAUCCCUGUACCGACUGAUACUAGACCAAGAAGAACAAAUUCCAUGGACACGCUGCUAUCAACUUCACCUCGUUCCAGCCUUCUCAAUCUGCAGAGUCAGCGAGGAGGCAAUCAAGGAAUCAAGUAACAUGGAGAAUAUCAUUGACAUAGUAGAAGAUAUACAGAGCGAGACGAUACAACGAGAAACAACAAUAUUAGAUCUAAACUCUCUAAAUAAACACUUGAAAAUGAAUAAAGAAAAUAUACUGUAUGUAAAUAUAAGAAGCUUAAAUGCAAAUUUUAACAAACUUCAAGUAUUUAUUGAGAGACUAAAGAUAAAACCAUGCAUAAUCGUAUGCGCUGAAUCAUGGAACUUAGAUUUUAAAGACUAUUUUAUGAUAGAAGGAUAUAAAAUGUAUUAUAACAGUAGCAAAAUAAACAGAUCUGACGGUGUGGUUGUAUAUAUUGAAAACGAUAUAGAGGAAGACACGGAGAUUAUUGAUAUAGGCAAACUUAAAAUACUCAAUUCUUGUAUAAAAAUAAACAAUGAGAACACAGUAGACAUAUCCGCAAUAUAUCGAUCUCAUGACAUACCAAAAUCGGAAUUUAUUAUGAACAUAAAAGAACUAAUAAAAAACAAAAAGAAGACUAAGAAUCAUUUAAUAAUAGGAGACUUUAAUAUUGACACACUGACACAAGAGAAUUAUAGUAAUGAGUUUUUAUGUAACUUACUAGACUCCGGGUACCACCCUGGAUUUCAGGGUAUAACUAGACCGUCAGAUUCUAAAAAUAUUGGAACAUGCAUAGACAAUGUAUUUAUAAAAACUAAUACAAUUUUAACCAGGACUUUCAAAUUAAUUUAUGCGCUAACUGAUCAUUAUCCACUAUUUGUAUCGAUUAACAAGCAAAGAGCAAACAAGGUAGAAGAGAACAAAACAACAAUAAAUUACAAAAAACUAAGGAAAAUAGCGAAGGAUGUAAAUUGGGAAUUGAUAUUGACUAUGCAUGAUCCAACUGAAGCUACCAAUACACUUAUUGAACACAUAAAGAUUAGCAUAGAUUUAGCUACGGAAAACAAAAAAAUACGUAACAUACGAAACAACACAAAACCUAGGAAAAUAUGGAUUACUAAGGCCAUAAUAGAAUCGUGCAAUAAAAAAGAGUUAUUGUAUAAGACUUGGCAAUUGGAACCAGGUAAUAAUAGGCUGAAGAAAGAGUAUAAGGACUAUACAAAAAUUCUAAAUAAAAUUAUCAAUGAGGCAAAAUUUAAAUAUGAUAGUGAACAAGUAGGAAAAAAUCUAAGAAAUCCUAGACGUUUAUGGGAAAUAGUGAAAACUAAACUAGGGAAAACAAAUAAGAAAGACGACACUAUAAAACAAAUUUUAAAUAAAGAUAUGCAGAAGAUCGAUGAACCCAUAGGCAUAGCCAAUGAGUUCAACUCUUAUUUCUGCAAUAUUGGUAAAAAACUAAGUGAUAAAAUUAAACAACCAACUAGUGCUAAGGCACAUCAACCAAUAAAGUAUCCAAAAUCUAUUUUCUUGACCCCAACUAAUAACAGUGAGAUAAGUAGAAUCAUAAAGAAUAUGGAAUUGAAAAGCGGUGGAGUAGAUAAGAUAAAUGUUAAAACAAUAAAGCUGCUAUCGGAUUAUAUAAUAAAUCCAUUAGUGCACAUUAUUAACUUAUGUAUUGAAAAGGGUAUUUGGCCAGAAGCGUUAAAAAGUGCUGAGGUGAUACCAAUAUAUAAAGCGAAAAGUAAGAAACAAGUAUCAAACUACAGACCUAUCUCUUUAAUCUCAAACUUAGCUAAGAUAUUGGAAAGAGUUAUAUAUUGCAGAAUUACUGAGUUUAUAAACAAAAGUAAGAUCAUAGCGGAAAAUCAGUAUGGUUUUGUAAAAAAUAAAGGCACAAAGGAAGCAUUAUAUCAUAUAACAAACAUUAUUUAUAAUAAAUUAGAUAAAAGUAAGCCAAUAGCUAUAAGUUUUUUGGAUCUCUCAAAAGCAUUUGAUACUGUAAAUCACAAAAUUUUGUUGGAUAAACCUUAUAAUUAUGGUAUUAGGGGAAUAGCAUAUAAAUUAAUUAAGAGUUACUUAACUAAUAGGUGCCAAAGAGUUAAACUGAAAGAUGUCGUAAGCAGUUAUGAGGCUGUUGAUACAGGGGUGCCACAAGGAACUAUAUUAGGACCACUAUUUUUUAUUUUAUACGUCAAUGAUCUCUUGAUAAAUAUGACAAAAGAAACAAUCAUAUCCUAUGCUGAUGACACAGCUGUAAUAUCAACUGAUGAUAACUGGAGUAAUGUUGAAAUCAAGAUGAACGACUACUUAAGUAACAUAUCGGUCUGGCUUGCACAAAAUAAAUUAUCCUUAAACAUUGACAAAACGGUAUAUAUGACUUUUGGUAAUUAUAUUGAUAGUGUCCCAAGAAACUUUACAUGUCAAAUAGAGGGAAAGGUCUUGAAAAGGGUGGAACACUGUAAAUACUUGGGUAUAAUCUUCGAUUUCAACAUGAAAUGGAAACAACAUAUAGAAUAUUUAAUAAAUAAAACUAAAUAUUUAGUGUUUGUAUUUUAUAAGCUAAGAACAUUCAUGGAAACACAUACAUUAUUAAUGAUAUACUAUGCAUUCUUUCACAGUGUUAUAAAUUAUGGAAUAAUAGCAUGGGGGGGAGCGUAUAAUAACAACUUGAACAUAUUACAAAAUUUACAAAGUAGAUUGCUAAAAAUAAUAAGUAACAACAAAUUCAUGACUCAUAACAAACCUCUAAACUUAAGACAAUUGUUUGCGUUUGAAUCCAUAGUGUUCCACUAUAAUGAUAUGAAAAACAGGUUCUUGACAUCGAAUAGCGUAACAAGGAAAAAGUUGAUACAGAUACCACAAAGAACUAAAACUGUAAGCCAAAAAAACAGCUAUAUAAAGGCUGUUGGUGUAUUCAAUGAUCUUCCAAACGAGCUAAAGACUUUAAACAAAUAUGAAACAGCGAAAAGUAAAAUAAAGGAAUGGAUUAGGAUGAAUGAAUGAUAUGCUAAAAUACUAGGGAUGAAUAUUUAGGUUCUAUUUAAAAAUUAAAUUGUAAAAGGAUCUCUUGUAAUGGGAAUAGUGUUAUAAUUAAGGAAUUGUAAUUAGUAUUAAGUUUUAGUAGAUAAGAGUGGCCAGUCCUGCCAACAGGUACCUGCGAGUACCUCUGCGGGAUUUACUGGUGCAUUGCGGAGUGUAAGUCACUACUGUAAUUCACUAGUGUAAAUUUUCUGGCUAAAUAAAUAAAAAUAAAAAAAAAAAAAAUAUUUUACGCACGAUAAUUUAUACCGCAUUAAGCGCUUAUCUAAGUAAGUCUAAAGUUAGUGUAGUUUAUAAUUUGUUUAUUUAUAAAUUAGUUUAGUCGUGCAUAAGUUUAUACCGCAUUUCGUGAUAAUUGUUAAGUAGUUAAUAAACAUAAAAAGUGUAAUUUGUUUAUAAAAAAAAAUGUCUCCAGUUCAGCAAGAUAGUGUUAACAGCGCUCUUGAACGGGUGGCAUCGGACAACGAGAGGCCGUCUAUCAAGAUGGUACUCAGGCGUUCAAUUAAGUCAGAUGAGUGGAAAUUAUAAAUAAUAACGAAAUUGCGUCAAAAAGACGAAGGCGAUCGUCUGAUCAAGAAGUAGGUCUAUUAGUAAAACGGCCCUGUAUAAAUGUUCAAGCAUCUCGAGCCGUUAGUUGUGUUGUGGAUCUUACAAACAGUGAUGAUGACGAUGAUAUUGUCUUUGUAUGCUCGAGUACAAAGCGCAAUAAUUGUUAUAAAGAUACUGCAAAUAUAAGUACAUAUUUUGAUAGCAAAUUAUUUAAUGUUGACUUGAACGUGUUCCAGCCAAUAAUUUCGAAACAAAACUCAUGGUUGAACGACGAUUCGUUGGAUGCUUUUCUUGGCGUAGUUCAAGAAAAUCAUCCCGAAUUCGAGGUGCAGAGUGUGAUGUAUUUAUACUAUCCACGAUGCGUUCAACCUGUAAAAAGUAAAACCAGUGUUGUGAUUAUGGGAGGUACGUGCACGAGCCAUUGGCGCUUUGCGUACUACGAUGGACAUACAGUGCGCAUAUAUGAAACGAUUCCUAAUUACGCGGGUGGAAAACCCGUCGAACAGGAAAAGCGUUAUAUUUUGCAGCGCUUUUCUGGCAUUUUGGAAAGCGAAAACGUGUGCUGUGGCGGGUGUAGCUGUUCUCUCAGGUACGAUGUAAACAUAUUAAUUUUCGUUACGGUAGAGAUCGUCGAUAAAAACCUUCGACGACUUACCAUUUUUAAUAUGUUGAUUUUAUGUGGAAAAAUGUAGGGUGAACAUCAUGAAUACAAAAGAUUUUUCUGUCUUUUUGUGGGGGCUGUCGAGUUUUGUCUUAUGACGGUACGUAAAUGAUGCCUUCAAUUCCUUCGCGAGAAGUUGCAAGAUCUCAACGAGCAGCGUCGCUAUCAAAACGGUUCCACAGUUGGACAAAACCAUCCAAAUUCAGAUGAGUGAGAAAGGGAAUUGUGUCUAAAUAAUGUCAUUUUUCAGGAUUUUUUGUAGUCAGAUAACGUCGAUGGAGAGAUGUACGCGGUUCCACAGAGCGACGGCACUGUACAACUGCGUAUUGGAGAAAAAGUUGAGGGGCCGCAACGAGAGGACGAAAAAUCCCAGUUGCCUUCCGUUGAUAAUGAAACGAGUCCUCAUCCAACCUAUAACGCAACGUUUGAGGGGUUCGACGUGAUAAACUGCAAGAUAGAAUUAUAAUUAACGGCAGCGGAGACUACCAACGACGCCAAUAUGUCAUAUGCACCGGCCAACAAACGGAGAUUGGCUCACCGAAUUAAGGAGAUAACCUUAGCCUCUCACCGUCGUCCUUUAGCUGCGAGGAAUCUGGACCCUGAGUUAGAAAAAUCCACCUCGAGGUCAACUCCAAAAUCGAGAUCUACGCCGCUGGAGAAGCUGUAGACAUGCUCAUAGCGGAUACAUCUGCCAACGAGACUCUGCUGCCUAGGGCCUACUUCCCUGAAAAGCGGAGAACUAAAGGGUGCGCAAAGAAUAAGAAGACGGUCCACAGGAACGUUCAACGUUUGGAAAGCAGCUCGGAAAAUUUGGCUCCGGCACAUGUAGGUCGCAAAAGAAAAAGGUCGCCUAAAGACGCUCCAGAAGCAAUGGAACCCAAGGCCAAAACUUCAAAGCAACUGUUUCUUCAAUGUCAGCAUGGCAAUAGCCUUUAUAAGCUUGGUGUCGACAGAUAUAACCAAACACUUUCCGGGUAAGAUUUAUCAAGACACAUCAAAAUUUCUCUCAAUCUUUCUUCCCAUAUGAGAACUUACCUUUAUAAAUUAUAUAGACUCCAGAGCGCUACUUCACUUGUGGGUAUGAGACGCCACCUAGUGGUGUAAUUUUAUAAUUUUUCUGUAAGAACAUUUUGUAAACGUUCAUUAGUAUAAUGAAUCAAAAUUUUUUAAUCUUAAAAAAAUUAAAGAAAAAUUUAAUUUUAAAAACUGAAAAUCUUGAAAAAUGUAUAAAUUUUUAAAAUUUAGUUUGUAUUAACAAUGGGUGUGUAAGUCCCACUUAUCAAGACGGCAAAGUGGCUACAUAUUCAAGUCGUGAAUAAAGUUCUAUAUGCAACACGGGAAUAAUCUACUUUAGUAUCUAUAUUGUUGCAUAAUGUGCUAAGUACAUGCUCGACAUUCAAAUAAUUGAAAAUCUCCCGCUUCGCAUCAGGAUUCUGCGCGUUCGUAAAGACGUCAACCUUCAACCCAUAAUAUAUAUAAGUAUACGUAUGCGGGCUGACGAGUGUCGACGCCUCGACUGUCGAGUGUCGAUCACAAUAUUCACAAUAAUCACAUCUAUGAUAAGUACUUACAAUAACGUUUCAACGUUAUUAAAUUCAAGAAAUGUUAGCGUUAAAAUAAAAAGAUUAUUAAAUACAUGACUUAGAAUCAAUAACAUACUUUAAAAAGGGAAAAAAUUUCAUUACUGGGACGUUCAAGGUGAAACGCUGCAUUGGUAUUGAG